rnacentral:rRNA from 1 species
UGGCGACCGGCGCACGGGUGAGUAACACGUAUCCAACCUGCCGAUGACUCGGGGAUAGCCUUUCGAAAGAAGGAUUAAUACCCGAUGGCAUAGUUCUUCCGCAUGGUAGAACUAUUAAAGAAUUUCGGUCAUCGAUGGGGAUGCGUUCCAUUAGCUUGUUGGCGGGGUAACGGCCCACCAAGGCAUCGAUGGAUAGGGGUUCUGAGAGGAAGGUCCCCCACAUUGGAACUGAGACACGGUCCAAACUCCUACGGAAGGCAGCAG